rnacentral:rRNA from 1 species
UACGUAGGGUGCGAGCGUUGUCCGGAAUUAUUGGGCGUAAAGAGCUCGUAGGCGGCCUGUCGCGUCGGUUGUGAAAGCCCGGGGCUUAACCCCGGGUCUGCAGUCGAUACGGGCAGGCUAGAGUUCGGUAGGGGAGACUGGAAUUCCUGGUGUAGCGGUGAAAUGCGCAGAUAUCAGGAGGAACACCGGUGGCGAAGGCGGGUCUCUGGGCCGUAACUGACGCUGAGGAGCGAAAGCGUGGGGAGCGAACAGG